rnacentral:sRNA from 1 species
UCGGCUACGACUGGGUCUUGCGUGGCGCC